rnacentral:rRNA from 1 species
AUGGCGUGUGAGGCUAAAAAGAGAUCUCUAAAUGAGAAUCCUGACACUGUUUCCUGGUCCUUGAAUAAUGGGGGCAAAUUUACCACUAAAUCUGUUUAUGAGUGGCUGGAGAGAGAUUUAUCUGGCCCUAACUAUAAGUGGGUAUGGAAAGCUGCGAUCCCCUUGAAAAUAAAAAAAUUCCUUUGGCAAUUGUUUCAAAAUGUUGUGCUUACGCGCGAUAACAUGUGGCAUAGGAAUUGACCAGGAAAUCCUAUGUGCUCUUUUUGCACAAACGUGGAAACUGCUAACCACCUCUUUUUCACUUGUCCUCUCGCCCGCAGAGUCUGGGGCGUGCUGGGAUUGACUGCUGGGCUUCUUGUGCCCCAGGUCUAUUUGGCAAAGUCUUGCUUGGUUAUACAAAUUAUUCCCAGGUGGUAA